rnacentral:rRNA from 1 species
UACGGGGGGGGUAAGCGUUGUUCGGAAUUACUGGGCGUAAAGGGCUCGUAGGCGGCCAACUAAGUCAUACGUGAAAUCCCUCAGCUUAACUGGGGAACUGCGUGUGAUACUGGAUGGCUUGGAUUUGGGAGAGGGAUGCGGAAUUCCAGGUGUAGCGGUGAAAUGCGUAGAUAUCUGGAGGAACACCGGUGGCGAAGGCGGCAUCCUGGACUGUAACUGACACUGAGGAACGAAAGCCAGGGGAGCAAACGGG